rnacentral:lncRNA from 1 species
CUUGCAUAAAAAAAUAAAGUUUAUGAUUUUGUGCAAAAAAAUGAAACAAAUUUCUUUUUCUUUAUUAAUGGAAUAUAUGAUGAUGAUAUGGAAAAUUUCAAAAUAUAAAAAAAAAAGAGUAUAUAAAAAUCUCAAUGUUUUAAGGAAGUUUACGAUUUUAUAUUGGGCCAUAUUCAUUACAGUAAUGGGCCAUGGAGUGGAGAGCCCUGUUCUAGAACUUUCAGAAUUUUUUUUAGUAGAAUUUGUUGAAGACAUACAAGAUAUGAUUAAUUGAAUUUAAUAAAGGAUUUUUCAAAAAUAUGCUUUGCAUAAUUUUUGUAUUUUUAUUUCAUAGAAUUAGAAUAUGCACUAAAAAAUUAGUUCCAGUUAAAAAAAAUUGAAUUGAUCUUCAGAUUAGUAUCAACAGCACUAUCUCUAAUGAAACUGAUAUUAGUAUUUAAACAGACAACUGUAGAAGAGACCUGUAGGUGUAACAUAUGUAGUGGUCCUGCAGAGAAAGAGGUCUCCAUAUUAGGUUCAUUUAGAGCACAUGAGUUAUGUUUAUCUGGUAGCACUGCACUACAAAGGUUAGCUGAAAAUAUCCAAUUAGAGUUAUUUUAAUUUGGAAUUUUCAAUCUUUAUGAAAAGUGAUGAGAAAUAAAUACCUUUAGGUAUGAAGACUUUAUUCUUGAAAAAUUAAACUUAAAAAUAUUAUUAAAAAUGAUUAAUUUUAUAAUGCCUUUAAGAUUUUUUGUUUUCGAGUAAACAUAACUUUUCUCCGUUAUUUGGAAUUUGAUCAGAACAGGUUAAGAUUAAUAAAAUUAACUAUUUUUCCAUCGUAAGUGAUAAUUUCUAAAUAAUAUCAUCUCUAACAAAACAGAAAAAGGCAACUUCCUGUUCCAAGUGCAGACUCUUGUUGCCAGACAACAGUCAGUUCAAGAUGGCCACCGACCGGGUGUUUCCAUUUUGGACAUUUCCUCUUUAGAAAUCUGAAACCAGAUUUGAGUUAUCUGCAUUAGGAAAGACACAGAAAAUUUUCUCGUAGACCAUAUCCAUAGUCAGGUUAUCAACCCCCAAAGGGAAAUUUUAAAGAAAUGGUUUAAUGUCUUAACUGGUGUAUAGAGUAAGGGCCUAGAUAUUCGAAACUGCUAAUUAGAUGUUGCCAUCUCCACUACAGACAGAUUCACAGUCUUCCACAGAUGGAAAAAGUGCGGAGUCCUUCUGUUGCAGUAGCUGCAAGAGAACGCUAGCUAUCUGUUGGAUGAUGAUGUCAUUCCAGAUAAGAUGAUGUCAAAGUCCAAACAAGAAGAAAGUGUUUCUUUUUCUCUGGCUGCAACUGCAGCAGAUCAUCUAGUGAUAAGAACAAAGUGUUUCUUUUUCAGCAGCAGCUAAGCAGAGUCUCUGGAUCUGAUAAGAAAAAAGGUACCCUUUCUUUUCCUGCUGUUAAAAAAGAAACAAUAAUACUAGGUGCUUG